rnacentral:rRNA from 1 species
GACGAACGCUGGCGGCGUGCUUAACACAUGCAAGUCGAGCGAUGAAGCUCCUUCGGGAGUGGAUUAGCGGCGGACGGGUGAGUAACACGUGGGUAACCUACCUCAAAGAGGGGGAUAGCCUCCCGAAAGGGAGAUUAAUACCGCAUAAUAAUCAGUUUUCACAUGGAGAUUGAUUUAAAGGAGUAAUCCGCUUUGAGAUGGACCCGCGGCGCAUUAGCUAGUUGGUAGGGUAACGGCCUACCAAGGCGACGAUGCGUAGCCGACCUGAGAGGGUGAUCGGCCACAUUGGAACUGAGAGACGGUCCAGACUCCUACGGGAGGCAGCAGUGGGGAAUAUUGCACAAUGGGCGAAAGCCUGAUGCAGCAACGCCGCGUGAGUGAAGAAGGUUUUCGGAUUGUAAAGCUCUGUCUUUGGGGACGAUAAUGACGGUACCCAAGGAGGAAGCCACGGCUAACUACGUGCCAGCCGCCGCAGUAAUAC